ACCCUUAUUCUUGAUUAACUUACUCUUAAUCAAUGGCAAGAAUAUAGUACGUGGACUAUCUGGUGGUGCUACACAUAAAGCUGGUAAAUUCUUUGCGGCAGAUGAUACGUGAACUACCAGAUGGACUAAAAAAAUUGAGAUGGAUGAAAAUGGGCUCCACAAAGCAGCAUUUUAUAUACCUGAUGAAAAAAUGAAAUUGUGGGUUGAUCAAAAAAAUUUGGCUGUAAAUUGGGCAACACCUAUAUUCUCAAUGACAAGGGUAUUAAAAAGUAUACUACAGAUAUGUGACAUGUUAGUUGUGUGAUGGUAAGUAAGUGUCACUCUACACUUCAAGCCAAUUAAUAUACUCCAGGCUUCCAAGUAUCAAAUUUCCUGCUAAAAUAACCGGGUUUGCCGAAAUCAAGACGCAACAAAGUUUUAGCUGGUGAGCGUAACAUAAGCGGGCUUCUGUUAAAAAAUAUAUGUUGAAAAUGUUAUGUUAAAAUUGUUAUGUUAAAAAUGUGUAGCGGAAAAAGCUGAUGUUUUUAUCGCAAAAUACCUUUUUUUCCUAUCCUUCUUAAGAAUUCAUUAAUAAUGGUCAUAAGAAUGAUAAACUCUUAUUGUGCAAGAAUAUGUUUCUUCUGAUUUGGUCAGCGCAGUCAGUGGGCAUUUCAUUUCGCAUAACUUAUGCCAAAGUACAUUUACUCGUAUGAUGCGUUCUUAGUAAGAUCUUCUCCUUACUUACAAUAAUUGCUCCUAACAUAUUUAUAAUUUAAAGAAAAAAUUACAUACUUAGCAGAGGCAUUGAAUUUAAUUAGUAUACAAAUUAAGUAAUUUUUGAAUUCUCUAAAAUUUUUUCAAAUGCUAUCCAUCAUUAUUAACAUAUUAGAGCAAUUCACAAUGUUGGCAUGACAUUAACAUUUGGCGCAUACAGAUUUUGCUGUUAUCCUGCCAUGUUAAUUGGCCAUUGCUAUUAUGCCAGGCUGUUUGCUUUUAAUUAUGAAUCACCCUAUUUUAUGAAAUUAAAACAAACUACGAAAUUUAGAAGCAGUUAAGCGGUUAUACAAACAUUAAUAACUAAACAUAAAAGAUUGAGAGUUUUUGUACUACCUUCUAAGCACUAAAUUUUAAAUAAAAUUAGUUUAUAUGAAAAAAGUACUUCGUAAACAAAACUUUUUUAGACUGAUUUGCAGUCGCUGAAUACGAAAAUAUUUCCCAUAUAUUUUUCCAAAAAAGCGUUUUAGGGACAUAGGCUAAAAAAAUGUUUUUAAAGUCAUUUUGCAGUUACUG